rnacentral:rRNA from 1 species
GACGUAGGGCGCGAGCGUUGUCCGGAUUUAUUGGGCGUAAAGAGCUCGUAGGCGGCUUGUCGCGUCGAAUGUGAAAUCUCAGGGCUCAACUCUGACAUUGCAUUCGAUACGGGCAGGCUAGAGUUCGGUAGGGGAGACUGGAACUCCUGGUGUAGCGGUGAAAUGCGCAGAUAUCAGGAGGAACACCGGUGGCGAAGGCGGGACUCUGGGCCGAUACUGACGCUGAGGAGCGAAAGCGUGGGGAGCAAACAGG